rnacentral:lncRNA from 1 species
GGUCAUCUACCUAUCUGAAUAGACAAAACCAUCAAUCAGAUCACCAAGAAUCUCCCCAAGCGUCUCUUUACCAAGAACAAACUCAGUCCCAGUUUUUAUUUUUUCUUCAUAAAUGUUGGGACUUCGAGGAACAAAAAGUGAUUCUAUUUAUGGAACUCAACAAUGUCAAGAAGUUCCUCUAUUUUUCAGCAAUAUCACAAUCAACACUCUGCCUAACAAUACUUUUUGAGACUUCAGGGUCUUCUACCUCUCCAAACCCGAAAACUCAACAUUUUGUUUCUAUAAGAAACCAGGUUCUCACUCACACUACCCUUUUUUCCUAAGCGACCAUGUCUCCCUCUUCUUCUUCUCAAUCUGUUCACCCUUAUCAUCUCUUGAAUCUAUCUCAGUCGACUUUCUUUUCUCCAUUUUUAUAUUUUUUGAAUUUUUUCUCAGACAUAAAGGUUUUUUGGAUUUAUUCUCUCUUGUACAUUCACCACAUCAACAGGUCACGCCAUUUUAUAAUCGAUCAACCUACUUUUCAUCAACUCUUUUUCUUUGAUCGAAGGUUCGUUUAAGCACAAAACUCAAGAGAAAAAGAUUAUCAAUAGAAUUAACAUCCUAAGAAGGAUUUGAGGGACCAUGUCCCCCACUUAGUUCCCCCUUUCCAGCUCAUUCACCAAUUCCUCCAUCUUUCAAGGCUUUUACCAAUCCAGCAAUAAUUUCAGCCUCACUCUCUAGAAUAUUAGAUCUACCAUGUUCCCUUUCAAUUAAAGUCCCUUCAAAAUCUACAAAAGAAUUCUUGGAGUUUUUAUUCAGAUGGAGUUAGGAUUUUGAAAAAUGACAUAGUUGGGUUCGCUUCUGAUAUACUUAGAGAUAAGGAUUCUUUUUCAGACAAGUUUGAUUUUGGUUUUGAAGAGAAU